UGGUGGGUAGUUUGACUGGGGCGGUCUCCUCCUAAAGAGUAACGGAGGAGCACGAAGGUUGGCUAAUCCUGGUCGGACAUCAGGAGGUUAGUGCAAUGGCAUAAGCCAGCUUGACUGCGAGCGUGACGGCGCGAGCAGGUGCGAAAGCAGGUCAUAGUGAUCCGGUGGUUCUGAAUGGAAGGGCCAUCGCUCAACGGAUAAAAGGUACUCCGGGGAUAACAGGCUGAUACCGCCCAAGAGUUCAUAUCGACGGCGGUGUUUGGCACCUCGAUGUCGGCUCAUCACAUCCUGGGGCUGAAGUAGGUCCCAAGGGUAUGGCUGUUCGCCAUUUAAAGUGGUACGCGAGCUGGGUUUAGAACGUCGUGAGACAGUUCGGUCCCUAUCUGCCGUGGGCGCUGGAGAACUGAGGGGGGCUGCUCCUAGUACGAGAGGACCGGAGUGGACGCAUCACUGGUGUUCGGGUUGUCAUGCCAAUGGCACUGCCCGGUAGCUAAAUGCGGAAGAGAUAAGUGCUGAAAGCAUCUAAGCACGAAACUUGCCCCGAGAUGAGUUCUCCCUGAGACUUAAAGUCUCCUGAAGGAACGUUGAAGACGACGACGUUGAUAGGCCGGGUGUGUAAGCGCAGCGAUGCGUUGAGCUAACCGGUACUAAUGAACCGUGAGG
rnacentral:rRNA from 2 species